GACAGAGGUUGCAAACGUUGUUCGGAAUUAUUGGGCGUAAAGAGCGUGUAGGCGGUCCGGUAAGUCAGCUGUGAAAGUCAAGGGCUCAACCCUUGAAUGCCGGUUGAUACUGUCGGGCUAGAGUCCGGAAGAGGCGAGUGGAAUUCCCGGUGUAGCGGUGAAAUGCGCAGAUAUCAGGAGGAACACCGGUGGCGAAGGCGGGUCUCUGGGCCGAUACUGACGCUGAGGAGCGAAAGCAUGGGUAGCGAACAGG
rnacentral:rRNA from 1 species